rnacentral:rRNA from 1 species
UAACACAUGCAAGUCGAACGGCAGCACGGGAGCAAUCCUGGUGGCGAGUGGCGAACGGGUGAGUAAAGUAUCGGAACGUGCCCAGUCGUGGGGGAUAACGUAGCGAAAGUUACGCUAAUACCGCAUACGAUCUAUGGAUGAAAGCGGGGGAUCGCAAAACCUCGCGCGAUUGGAGCGGCCGAUAUCAGAUUAGGUAGUUGGUGGGGUAAAGGCUCACCAAGCCGACGAUCUGUAGCUGGUCUGAGAGGACGACCAGCCACACUGGGACUGAGACACGGCCCAGACUCCUACGGGAGGCAGCAGUGGGGAAUUUUGGACAAUGGGCGAAAGCCUGAUCCAGCCAUGCCGCGUGCAGGAUGAAGGCCUUCGGGUUGUAAACUGCUUUUGUACGGAACGAAAAGGUUUGGCCUAAUAAGCUGAGCUCAUGACGGUACCGUAAGAAUAAGCACCGGCUAACUACGUGCCAGCAGCCGCGGUAAUACGUAGGGUGCGAGCGUUAAUCGGAAUUACUGGGCGUAAAGCGUGCGCAGGCGGUUAUGAAGACAGAUGU